AGAAAUCUUAGCUAAUACCGCAUAAUACCUACGGGUCAAAGCAGCAAUGCGCUUGAAGAGGAGUUCGCGGCAGAUUAGUUAGUUGGCGGGGUAAUGGCCCACCAAGACGAUGAUCUGUAUCCGGCCUGAGAGGGCGCACGGACACACUGGAACUGAAACACGGUCCAGACUCCUACGGGAGGCAGCAGUGGGGAAUUUUGCGCAAUGGGGGAAACCCUGACGCAGCAACGCCGCGUGGAGGAUGAAAUAUCUUGGUAUGUAAACUCCUUUCGAUGGGGAAGAUAAUGACGGUACCCAUAGAAGAAGCCCCGGCUAACUUCGUGCCAGCAGCCGCGGUAAUACGAGGGGGGCAAGCGUUGUUCGGAAUUAUUGGGCGUAAAGGGUGCGUAGGCGGUUUGAUAAGUUUGAUGUGAAAUCUAUGGGCUCAACCCAUAGUCUGCAUCGAAAACUGUCGGGCUUGAGU
rnacentral:rRNA from 1 species